rnacentral:rRNA from 1 species
GACGUAGGAGGCGAGCGUUAUCCGGAUUCACUGGGCGUAAAGCGCAAGUAGCGGUUGUGAAAGUCCGUUGUUAAAGCCCCUGGCUCAACUGGGGGAGGUCAAUGGAGACUUUAUGAUCUUGAGGGCAACAGAGGCAUGUGGAACUCCCGGUGUAGAGGUGAAAUUCGUAGAUAUUCGCAAGAACACCAGUGGCGAAGGCGGCUCACUGGUCCGGUACUGACGCUGAGGUGCGAAAGCGUGGGGAGCAACAGG